AGUCGUAACAAGGUCUCCGUAGGUGAACCUGCGGAGGGAUCAUUAACGCUCUCUCUCAUCAUUAAAUCAAAAAGGGCUUGUGCAUCUCUAUGUACAUGUAUUUAUUUAUAUGUACGUAGAGGUACAAGCCUGAACGCCAAGUGCGCACACUUCGAUAUAUUUCACGAUAUGUCAAGUGCGCGCGCGCACGCGCGCUUGAAUUGUGCGCGCAAGCGCAUAAUUCAAGCAGUUGAAGUGCUCCAAUAUUCACCACACACAACCAAUUUACACUUGAACAACAACAUACAAUACACAUAGAUACACAGUCAAAUGUAUAUCUCUGUUGUGUUGUCAAUCUAAAUAUAUAACCAAAUAUAACAACUCCUAACAACGGAUAUCUUGGUUCUCGCGAGGAUGAAGAACGCAGC
rnacentral:misc_RNA from 1 species